rnacentral:rRNA from 1 species
UACGGAGGGUGCAAGCGUUAUCCGGAUUUACUGGGUUUAAAGGGUGCGCAGGCGGAUAUGUAAGUCAGUGGUGAAAUCUCUGGGCUUAACCCGGAAAUUGCCAUUGAUACUAUAUAUCUUGAAUGCUGUGGAGGUAAGCGGAAUAUGUCAUGUAGCGGUGAAAUGCUUAGAGAUGACAUAGAACACCUAGUGCGAAGGCAGCUUACUACGCAGAUAUUGACGCUCAUGCACGAAAGCGUGGGGAGCAAACAGG